rnacentral:rRNA from 1 species
CCUACGGGCGGCAGCAGUGAGGAAUAUUGGUCAAUGGGCGCUAGCCUGAACCAGCCAAGUAGCGUGAAGGAUGACUGCCCUAUGGGUUGUAAACUUCUUUUAUAUGGGAAUAAAGUGCAGUAUGUAUACUGCUUUGCAUGUACCUUAUGAAUAAGGAUCGGCUAACUCCGUGCCAGCAGCCGCGGUAAUACGGAGGAUUCGAGCGUUAUCCGGAUUUAUUGGGUUUAAAGGGAGCGUAGUCGGGUUGUUAAGUCAGUUGUGAAAGUUUGCGGCUCAACCGUAAAAUUGCAGUUGAUACUGGCAGCCUUGAGUACAGUAGAGGUAGGCGGAAUUCGUGGUGUAGCGGUGAAAUGCGUAGAUAUCACGAAGAACUCCGAUUGCGAAGGCAGCCUGCUGGACUGUAACUGACGCUGAUGCUCGAAAGUGUGGGUAUCAAACAGGAUUAGAUACCCUGGUAGUC